UCUCCGGCUUCCGGGAUUGGGCUGACCGGCUACCAGUGCAGAGCAUCCCGGGCCCCAACAUUUGGACAGCUGGACCCUCUUCCUGAGAGACCCUGGAACAUUUUCUUCCUCAGGGGAGAGGAAGCCUCUGGCUGAAUGGCAGCUGUGGAUGACUUGAGGUUCGAAGAGUUUGGCGAUGGAGCCACACUGUUAGCAAACCCGGAUGCUACCACGAUAAACAUCGAGGACCCCAGUGUAUCUUUCGGCCACCAACCCAGACCCCCCGGGAGCGUGGGGCGAGAAGAGGAUGAGGAGCUGCUGGGGAACAAUGACUCUGACGAGACCGAGUUACUUGCCGGUCAGAAGAAAAGUUCUCCCUUCUGGACAUUCGAAUACUAUCAGACGUUCUUUGAUGUGGACACUUACCAGGUCUUUGACAGAAUAAAAGGGUCUCUGCUGCCGGUUCCGGGAAAGAACUUUGUGAGGCUGUACGUCCGCAGCAAUCCAGAUCUCUACGGCCCCUUUUGGAUAUGUGCCACGUUGGUCUUUGCCAUAGCAAUUAGUGGGAACCUUUCUAACUUCUUAAUCCAUCUGGGAGAAAAGACAUACCAUUAUGUGCCCGAAUUCCAGAAAGUGUCUAUCGCGGCGACUGUCAUCUACGCCUAUGCUUGGCUGGUCCCUCUGGCCCUCUGGGGCUUCCUCCUGUGGAGAAACAGCAAAGUGAUGAGCAUGGUUUCCUAUUCCUUUCUGGAGAUCGUGUGCGUCUAUGGCUACUCGCUCUUCAUCUAUAUCCCCACAGCAGUCCUGUGGAUCAUUCCCCAGAGAAUUGUUCGUUGGGUCCUUGUCAUGAUUGCCCUGGGCAUCUCAGGCUCUGUGUUGGCAAUGACAUUCUGGCCAGCUGUUCGUGAGGAUAACCGGCGUGUCGCCUUGGCCACCAUUGUGACAAUCGUGUUGCUUCAUGUGCUGCUGUCUGUGGGCUGCUUGGCUUACUUCUUUGAUGCUCCAGAGAUGGACCACCUCCCAGCAGCUAUAACCACUCCCAACCAGACAGUAGCAGCGGCCAAAUCCAGCUAACGGGGAAAGCAGGUGGUGGCCUUUCAUCUGGAGUGGUAUGUCACAAAUGGGAAGCUCUCUAACUGCUGAGGAGAUAUGGCUCUUCUGGACACAGCAUCCACUACUGGAAUGCAGAAUGGCCAGCAUCGGCAGGAAAAUGGUUGUCCUGGCACUGAAGCCUCAUCACCCAUUUAUCAAGAAUGAAGUGUUGGUCUGGGGUUGUUAGGCACGUGAUAGAACACUUGCCUCGCAUGUGUGGGGCCCUGAAAGUAAAGUGCAGUGGUGAUGCCUAGAGUGUGUCCUUCAGUUCUUUCCUCCUGCAUUCUGAU